CCAAUAGCGUAUAUUAAAGUUGUUGCAGUUAAAAAGCUCGUAGUUGAAUUUCGAGACCGGUUUACUGGUCGUGCUUUUGUACGUACUGGUAUUAUUGGUUUCUCCUUUCUGACGAAUCAUAAUGCCAUUAAUUUGGUGUUUUGGGGAAUCAGGACUGUUACUUUGAAAAAAUUAGAGUGUUUAAAGCAGGCUCACGCUUGAAUACAUUAGCAUGGAAUAACGAAAUAGGACGUUUGAUUUUAUUUUGUUGGUUUCUAGGAUCGACGUAAUGAUUAAUAGGGAUAGUUGGGGGCAUUAGUAUUCAAUUGUCAGAGGUGAAAUUCUUGGAUUUAUUGAAGACUAACUACUGCGAAAGCAUUUGCCAAGGAUGUUUUCAUUAAUCAAGAACGAAAGUUAGGGGAUCGAAGACGAUCAGAUACCGUCGUAGUCUUAACCAUAAACUAUGCCGACUAGGGAUCGGAUGAUGUUAAUUUUUUAAUGACUCAUUCGGCGCCUUACG
rnacentral:sRNA from 2 species